GAUGAACGCUGGCGGCGUGCCUAAUACAUGCAAGUCGAGCGAACAGACGAGGAGCUUGCUCCUUUGACGUUAGCGGCGGACGGGUGAGUAACACGUGGGUAACCUACCUAUAAGACUGGGAUAACUUCGGGAAACCGGAACUAAUACCGGAUAAUAUUUCGAACCGCAUGGUUCGAUAGUGAAAGAUGGCUCUGCUAUCACUUAUAGAUGGACCUGCGCCGUAUUAGCUAGUUGGUAAGGUAACGGCUUACCAAGGCAACGAUACGUAGCCGACCUGAGAGGGUGAUCGGCCACACUGGAACUGAGACACGGUCCAGACUCCUACGGGAGGCAGCAGUAGGGAAUCUUCCGCAAUGGGCGAAAGCCUGACGGAGCAACGCCGCGUGAGUGAUGAAGGUCUUCGGAUCGUAAAACUCUGUUAUUAGGGAAGAACAAACGUGUAAGUAACUGUGCACGUCUUGACGGUGCCUAAUCAGAAAGCCACGGCUAACUACGUG
rnacentral:rRNA from 1 species